rnacentral:rRNA from 1 species
GACGAACGCUGGCGGCGUGCUUAACACAUGCAAGUCGAACGGUAAGGCCCCAGCUUUCUGGGGUACACGAGUGGCGAACGGGUGAGUAACACGUGGGUGACCUGCCCCGCACUUCGGGAUAAGCCUGGGAAACUGGGUCUAAUACCGGAUACGAACGCCCCGUGCAGGAGUGGUGGGAAGUUUGUCGGUGUUGGCUGGGCCCGCGGCCUAUCCGCCUGUUGGUGGGGUAAUGGCCUACCAAGGCGGCGACGGGUAGCCGGCCUGAGAGGGUGGACGGCCACAUUGGGACUGAGACACGGCCCAGACUCCUACGGGAGGCAGCAGUGGGGAAUAUUGCACAAUGGGCGGAAGCCUGAUGCAGCGACGCCGCGUGGGGGAUGACGGCCGUCGGGUUGUAAACUCCUUUCGCCAUCGACGAAGGUUUUCUGACGGUAGAUGGAGAAGAAGCACCGGCUAACUACGUG